UUAACCACCUCCAAUGUUUGAACAGCUCACAAAUGUGUGCAGAGUCAGAGUCUUAGCUGCUUGAAGGAUGGUUUUCUAUGUCUGCCACAAUCCAGACAGCAGAUGUGUGUUUCCAACGAGGUGGCUGCAGACAAGAAGACCUGACCACCUCCCAGCUAAAUCCUUAUUUUCCUCCUUUCAACAGGUUGCUGCUCGGGAUCUCCCCUCAGUAACUUUCUUCAGCUUGCUUUGAAAAGGAGAGAAGGCCUCCAGUGCAUCCCAAAGGCCUUUCUGACUUUGGGCAACAAGGAGUAUCACUAUUUGGAGGUGUGGACUUGGAACAGGUUUGUCACUGUGGGCCUAGAAGUCAAUCAGUCUUCCAAGAGCAGCCUUCAAAGGAAGAUGUAGAACUCUGAGCUCCGCCUGCACCAUGCCUGCCUGGAUGCUGCCCUGCUCCUGCCUUGAUGAUAAUGGGCUGAAUCUCUGAACCUGUAAGCCAGCCCCAAUUAAAUGCUGUCCUUUAUUAGA